UACGAUUUGGAACAAAUACAAGACCGAUUUUCACUUCUGGUCACUGAACCUUUGUACCUAUUUAGGAACAGUUUAAAAGUCCAAGUUCAUUCAGCUCAGAUGAGACAGAGUACUUACUUCAUAUCUAAAACACAGACAUGAAGCCUUAUUUCCUUCUGUUUCUACUGCUGCCACUGAUCUGCCUAGGUAGGAAUACACACUCAAAUUCAAUGGGAGUAUAAAAAUUAAUAUAUAUUACAAUUUACAACUUUUACCCAUUUAACAGCAGAUGUUAAAUACUUUGAACCAUAAGGUUAGAGGCCUUGUAUUGACCCAAUUCAUACUGACAAAAACAAGGACUCGACUCAAAUUAACUUUUGAUUUAAUACAUGUUAAAACCAAGGUGCAGCAUGAUGAGGUGACACCAACACAUGUAUUGCAGGUGACCAUUCCACAUUGAGUGUUACGGUCAUGACUUUCUGAUGUUAAACAACCACCUGUUACAAUGCACCAGCAGGUCCAGCAGGCGUGCUACACUAGAGAUAAUGGAGAAAAGGGUUGCACUCAGCUGGACUACUGCUCUCGCCCUGGUUGGACAUGCUGCUACAAACCGACCGCUGCAAUGCCUGAGCAGGGCGCUUUCUGACCACACUGCGUCAAGAACACAUUACCAGUCUGUUGAUGAAGAAACAUGUAGAGACAAAUAAAGUCAUUUCCUCUCCUCGA